GGGCUAUUAGCGCAGGCAGGUAGCGCAGCAGGCUUUUAACCUGAAGGUCGGGGGUUCAAAUCCCCUAUAGCCCG
rnacentral:tRNA from 1 species